CAUAUAUUACCUCUGUCUCAAAUUAGUUGUCUUAGAUUUGUUUAGAUACGGAUGUAUCUAACAUUAAAAUGUGCUUAGAUACAUCUAUAUCUGCACAAAUCUAGACAACUAAUUCUGCACGGAGAGAGUAGUCC
rfam:Triticum aestivum genome assembly, contig: Triticum_aestivum_CS42_TGACv1_scaffold_559696_7AL